CCAUUACUGUGACUUGUUGUCUGAAACAGUGACUGAAGAUGGCAUCUCCCGCCUGUAUGAAGCUUUUCAGGAAGUGCCUUUGACAUGUGACAGGACCACAGGGCACAUCCUCAAUAGACAUUACAAAUGGCUGCAGAAGCUUGGAAAUCUCGUGUCGGGUUCCGCAUUCGACUAGGGAACCGGGACCGACACAGAAGACCUCUUUGUCCUGCUAUGACAUCUAGAGGCUAACAGGAGCCAGCCAGGCCCACCACUGAUCACAUCUCUUGGGAGACGGCAAAGCAGCUGCUGCAUGGGAAGGAGGAGAGAGAAGAGGCAGAGCAGGAUGUGCCGGGGUGCACCAGUCACACAUAACCUCACAGUCUAGGCGGCGGAAGCCAAGCCCCUCCCCAGCCCUGCCGGACAUGCUACAACUGGAGCACCAGUGUGAAAGG